UUGUACUUAAAAACUUAGUAACUAAUGUUGAAACACACACACAUUUACAUACGAGGACGUUGACAGCCAUGCUCAUUCAGGCAGAGAUACCGGAAGCGAAUGCGGGGCUGUCAUGAGGGCUGCUGCUUGGGCAGGUGCGGUGUGCAUCCAUGGAUGUGUGCAUAUUGUGAAGCGAAGACCCACGGUUAUUCGUAAUGAUGUGGACAUAAAGUGCUCAAGCAGGGGCGCAAGCUUGAGCACAACAUAAACGUUAUUAAGCAGAAAAUUGACUGUCGUUGGUGGCUUGAGUGUUUGUUGUGGUCCGCAGGGAGCCGUCCAGAAAAGGAGUGCACCACCACAAUAAGCUUGUUCCUCUGAGAGCUGUGUCGAACUGUCAGCUGGACCUCGCCCAGGGGAAACUGGCCCGGCGCCGAGCCACUGGAACCACAACAGAGUCACAUUGACGGAGCCUUUGCUGAAGCUCCAGACUGGCAUAUGGCAGGGAGAUAUCCGAGGCCAAACUGGGCGUGGACUCCUUGUGAGGCAAGUGUUUCUGGGAACUGGAAAUGCACAUGCUGAGGUUGGAGGUACUGCGGAGAGGGCUGGCGGAGUACGGCUCGCCGUCCCUGUGCUGGAGGGUGAAGGUGGAAGCGUCUAUGGGGGGCGGGGGCGUGGGCGGAGGCAGUGGGGAAUCUGAGGACUGUCUCUGGGUGGAGGCUGCAGUUGGCUGCGGCAAGCUGGAUUUCCUGACCUGCACGGAGGAAGGCUGGUCCGAGGACACCUGCUUCUCAAGGGACAGGAUCUGAAGGACAUGAGGAAGGACAUCAAUUAUAAAAAUACAAUUAAUAAAAAUGUAAAGAAC